rnacentral:rRNA from 1 species
GAUGAACGCUAGCGGCAGGCCUAAUACAUGCAAGUCGAACGGUAAAUAGUUCAGCAAUGGACUAUGAGAGUGACGCACGGGUGCGUAACACGUAUGCAACCUACCCUUUACAGGAGUAUAGCUCGGGGAAACUCGAAUUAACACUUCAUAGAAUAAUUGAAUGGCAUCAUUUGGUUAUUAAAUCUGCGGAGGUAAAGGAUGGGCAUGCGUCUGAUUAGCUAGUUGGUAGUGUAACGGACUACCAAGGCGAUGAUCAGUAGGGGAACUGAGAGGUUGAUCCCCCACACUGGCACUGAGAUACGGGCCAGACUCCUACGGGAGCAGCAGUAGGGAAUAUUGGUCAAUGGGUGAGAGCCUGAACCAGCCAUGCCGCGUGCAGGAAGACGGCCUUCUGGGUUGUAAACUGCUUUUGUCAGGGGAUAAAAAUCCUUGCGAGGAUGAUUGAAGGUACCUGGCGAAUAAGCCACGGCUAACUACGUGCC